rnacentral:lncRNA from 1 species
GGGAAAGAAAGAGAGGAAGGAAGGAAGAGGAAGAGAGAGAAGGAAGAGGAAGAGAGAAAAUAGAAGAAGAUAAGAGGAGAUAAUAGAGAGAGUUAUCUUUGUACUCCUAUUAUUCUAAAUUAUAAUGAAAGCACCACUGCUGCCCCGAUGACGUACUCCAGUCACACUGACUGUAGAGGAACCUCGUAAAAUUUGUGUCUUGUUUCAUUUAUUCCACUGCACCCACAGUCGAUUUUACAACACGUUAUCAGCACGAGAAGCUCUCAUGUCAGUGGAAAGCACAACGCCACAAAUCCUGUUCACCUCCUUCAGCUGGAAUCUCACAGAUAAGAAACAAUUUUCAUUUCAUCUUCAAAUCUCAGUACAAUUGAUUUUCUUGAAGCAACUAUAUAUAUUGUUAUAUGACUGUAUAUCAUCCUUUGCAGAAGCAAAAGAGUAAAAGACUAAAAAUUUGCAAGAGAAUUUGACAGCCAUGUAAAUAGCCUCGGAACUCCAACUUGCGGACCUCGGAUUGAAAUACUUUCUUCUUGAAAGUUGUUCGUCUGCUCAGUAUCUACAACAUAUCAAAAUUUCAGAAAAUGUUAACGGUGCGAUCGUGGCAGAUGUCUGAAAUACCAAACCAGUUUCCAAUUUCCGCAGAAAACUGGGCAGCCACCUUAUGAGUACCAAAACUCCAUUUCGGUAGCUCAAAUCGAUAUUGUUUCUUCACGAAAGUUGUUUGGUAUCCUCUUAUCCAUAUCAUACUAAAUUUUGAACUAAAUCUAACGGUUUGAUCUUCUCAUAAGUUGCAGACACUCUUGACUCCAAAACUUAUGGGAACCGUUUCGACUUUUUCGAAACUCACCGGAGGAGGAACCCCAAUUGGAACUUAUUGUUACUAUUAUUUACUGAGUAACCAAAAUGACUUCGAACUGUGAAAUAAUAAUAAAAAUAAAAGGGAUGAAACAAAAAGAAGUGGUAGACCAAGAAAAAUGAAAAAAGCAAAACAUGAGGACUUAAUCAUUGCAUUUUCUGUUUUGGCAUAUUUAUGUGCAUGGUGUUGGUUUAAAGCCCAUGUCACAAGUUCUAUUUAUUUAAAGCAAUUUAUUUAUAGUGGGUAGAAUUAUUACCCUUUGCUUUAAAGCUUUGAUAUUUAUGUGAAUGGUGCUGAAUCAAAGCCCUUGUCACAAGCUUUAUUUACUUUAAAGCAAUUUAUUUUUACCAUGGACGGUUUUACCGCCUAUUGCUUUAAGUUUUGAUGGUGCUGAAUUAAAGCCCUUGUCACAAAUUUUAUUUACUUAAAUGCAAUUUAUUCAUUAUGGCUGGAAUUACCGUCUAUUGCUUUAAUUUAUUUAUUGUACUUAUCUUUUGUUACUAUGAGUAUAUACAGGACCUGAAGUUCCUUGAUCAGAUCAGAACCUGCAGUUUCUUGAUCCUCAUCAUAUAAAAUGAUUGGACCCGAAGUUCCAUCAUACAAAAGGAUCUAGCAUGAAGUCCCUUGAUCCUGAAGAUCAGGACAUGAAGUUCCUAGAUGAGUACCAUAAGUUUGAAGUGCCGCAGUGCUUUAACUUAAUUGUAAUAAAAGCCAUAAGAGUCUCAGUUUACAGACUAUUAAAUAAGGACCAGAAGUUCCUUAUGUCCAUACUCAAAAUGGUUUAGCAGAAGCCUUUAUUAAGCGAAUGAAAUUGAUUUCCCGCACUCUGCUCAUGAAAACGAAAUUGCCAAUUUUCUACAUGGGGACAUGUAAAUUUUACAUGAUGCAUUAUUAAUUCGGUUGAGACAUGUUACCGACCAUCAAUACUUCUCAGUACAACUCGGGUUUGGAACCAACCAAACAUUAUACAUUUACGAGUUUUUGGUUGUGUUGUCUAUGUGCCUGUAAGACUGCCACAACGUACUGAAAUGAGGCAUCAUUGCAGUUUAGGCAUUGAUGUUGAACACCAUCUAUUAUUCAAUAUUUGGAAUUCUUGAUUGGGGAUAUGUUUACCGCAUGGUUUGCGGACUGUCAUUUUGAUAAGACAAUUUUCCUGCCAUUAGGGGGAGAAAAUAAUAUCGUUCCAGAAGAACGAUGAGAAAAUAUCAUUCCAAAAGAAUAAUGAGAAAAGACCGUUCCAGAAGAACGAAGAGAAUUUGUCUUAUUUUGAUUCACGAAGCAAUCAAUAAGAAAAUGAAAUAUGAAUAAUUGAAUGAUGCAACGAAAGUGAUGAAAUCAUAUAUACUUACUGCAAAUGUGCCUACAAGAAUUGAUGUCUCUGUUGGAUAAAAUAAUGAGACAGUAAAUGAUUUAUCUGUUGCACGCCUGAAGCGUGGCAGAUUUUUAGACUCAAAAGGUUCAGUUAUUCGAAAGAAGAAUAAUAUGGCACUACUGAACUAUUGCAUUCCCGAAGCAUAACUGUUGCAUGCCAGAAGCAUGACAGUCGCCGCGUGGAUACACGUCCCAGAUAGGACAAUCCACAGACAUGGGAAUAUUGAUGUCUCAUGCAUGAAGCAUGAUUGACGUAUAGGUUCUAAAUGACUCAACUCUUGGAAGUGGAGAUUAAAAUCCAAGCUCUAUAACGCUUAAGAAGAGGUUAUGAUCCGCAUUCUCUAAACUAUGACUAUCCUGGAAGAGAUAGUGUAAUGCCCUUGAAGAGGCAAUUGAUAUCCAAAGAAAUGAAAGCUUUUAUGCAUGCGCAUACACAUGAGAAUAUGGGAUCACGGAUUGAUGAUAACCAAUGGUAAUUUUGGUUUUUACAAGUACCUACUAAAUUCAUCAAUGAGCUGUGUUAAUAUUGAGUCACGUUCUUUUGUUCGUCGACAAAAGGAAAAUUAUUGGCCAAAAUGGAGAAAGGCAAUUCCAUUACAAUUUUGUAAGAACGUGGGCAAAUGAACCUAUAUAUAUUUGAAUACAAUACAAAUAGCCAAAAGAUGUUGAACCAAGGAGAUUAUAUAUGGGCAUUUGUAAUACAGUGUAAUACACUUACAUGAUAUGACACAAGGUUGUAAACGAGUUCAUAUAAAUGGAGAAUUAUAUAUGAAGGGUUGUGAGUCACCCACAUCAUAUCUCCAUAAGUAAAUCCCUCAAAUAUACAUGGGAGCAAAUUGCUCUGUAUAAAUUCCAAAGGAAAAUGUGUCAUGAAGUGUAGAAAAUCCUUGAAUGAUUCAAAUUGCUUGAAGUAAGGCCCCGAAGGGUAAAGCAUAAAUUAUGUACUCAAUAUCAAUGGAUGAUAUAAAUUGCCUUAGUGAGUACUAUCAUUAUGAUAUUGUUGCAACAUACUAAAAUCUCUUGCAAGAGUCAAUGACAUUAAAUUAGAACUCUUGAAGAGUUGAUGAUAUUAAAUUGGGACUCCUGAAGAGUCUAGAAAAAUUAUAAAGUGUUGAAGGAAUUAUUGUCUCGAGCUGCAGAUCGAACAAUCUACCAACACGAAUCUUAUCCAUGAUAUUUAUGAUAUUAAAAGAACCAUAUGGAUUGAAGAUUAUGAGUUGAAUACUCAUAUGAUGAAAACACUAAGAAUAAUCAUUUAUCUUCGUGAGAGUAAAGAUAAAUUAAUACUUGGUCCAGAAGUACCACAUCUUAGUGAAGUAUAUGCUUUAUUGUAUUUGGCACAAUACAUUGAAUGAAAUAAAGCUUAUUUAUUAAUAUCUCCAAGAAAUUACAGAUAUAUACAUACACAUGAGUUAAAAUAAACAAACAAGAUGGAGCCUUCACAAAGGUUACUCAUGUGCAGCCUCAGUACUCGAAAGUACCCCAGAAGGGGGAGGCACUGGAGAUUGAUCAUGUGGCACCCAGUACUUAGCAAAACACCAGAAGGGGAAGGCAUCAGUUGCUUUCGGAAUCUAGCAACGAACCUCUGGUGAUCACUUUGAAUCCGACUUUCGGAUUCUUGCAGUUGGUCGAGCUUUCUUUUCAUGCUCGUAGAGUAACUAUUUGCAAGCACGUGUAACACCCUAUUCUCGUGCUUGAGCCCUCUGAUCUCUUGUUUAAGACUUGCCACCUCCGCCAUCAAUGAUUCAACUUGGCGAGUUUGAGCAAGUAGGCGUUGGCCCAUAUUGGACACAGAGCCAGCACACUGAACACUGAGAGCCAAGGAGUCUUGAAUGGCCGACUCUUCAGACCGUUCUGAAAGGAUCUUGUUAUCCCUUGGAGUGAGAAGAUUCCUAGCUACCACAGUAGCGGUUAUGUUAUUCUUCAUCACAGAGUCCCCAACCGUAAGAGGACCAUUAGAAGAUAAGAAGGACGGGCGCCAUAUAUUAUCCUGACGCUGCUCGUCUGUAUCACUCAUAAGACUCAAAUCUAAGCAAAUGUUAGAUGGGCAAGUCAUUUUCAGAAAUGAUAAAGGAAAAACAGAGGUCAAAUAAAAUUUCAGAAGUGCAAGAUAGAGGAAAUUUCUACAGGCAGCAACUUUCUGAGCAUACUCUUGAACACAAUUGAUGUCUCUAUAAAAGAAGAGGCAGCAGAGCCACUUGUUCAAAGAUCGAAGAGGCACCGCUCUCCGAAUUUCAAAAGCCAGAUUUUCCUGAAUAAAGUUCGUUGGCAUUUUUCAGACGUAAUCCCAACUUUUUCAGAUGUCGCGUGCAAUUUUGUCAAAGAUCUCUGACAAAGUUGAAAACGCGUAAAUCUUACUGUUCUAUUUACACCACAGUUGCUGACAAGAGUAAAAGCACAGCACCACCACUUGCUAUUGAGAAAUCUCUAUAUAUGUCGACCUCUGUUCUCCAUAACAAGGCAGACCUGCAACACUGCAAGAAUACCUAACUCUUCCUCAUCUCCGAGAAUGCAUCUUCAACAUAGCAUCUCGAAAUACUCAGUUUUCUUCCUCUCCGAGAAUACCUCUUCAAACAUGUCACACCAGAGCAAGAUUAUCACAUAUCUUCAGGGACCAGAGCAAGAUUAUCUCAUAUCAUGCAAUCUCCCUGUCCUUUCCUUUGUCCAUGUUCUUGCCUGCAAAGACAAGGAUAAGGAAAGCAAUAUGUCGGAACCUCCACUCAAACUCCCGGUAAGGAACCGAUUGCCUGGAACCUUUCCUGAUUGCUUACCUAGUAUUGCUCUCGAGUAGUCAUCUUCAACGGUUGGAGUUGGGUCUCCAGUCACCAAGAAGUGAUGAACCAUCCAAAUGCAAGGGUUUGCAUUCCACUUCUGCACCAGGGGACAAAUCCUACAAGAGAAGAUGCCACAUAUGCAUGGGGGGAAAAGCAGUGAAAAUACUACUUAAGCAAGGGGAGCAAGUAAGGAAAGUGAAAAUGAUACAUUGAAGCAUGUGGAGACAAGCGCAACAAACGCGUGCUGAUUCAUCCCUGACAAAACUGAAGAUCACUUGCCACAUGAAGCUCCUCAUGGUCCAAUUUCAUUCAAGAUCAAGCCUCGAAGGUCCUUAAAGAAAUCACAAGUCCGAUUCAAGAUCAAGUGUUCACUACUCUUGAAUCAAAUUCCGCUCCAGAUAAAAGGAGUAAAUUCAGACCUUUGGAUGCUAGUCUAGCAGAAAGUCCUACAACCCAGUUCAAGAAAAAGCCUGUGGAAAGUUAACAACAAGUAAAGCAACUCUUUUAGCAACUCUUCUUACUAAGAGACUAAAGCAGAACGAUCAACGAUCAACCUAAAUGAUUUGAAAUCUGGGGGAGAUACUCAUCAGGGGGAGCAUUCAAAACAAAUCAAGAUUUUAACGAGUCAAUCGAAGACUUGUGGCCAUCCAAGGGGGAGUGUUGUAGAAAUGGAUGUCCACUCAAAUAAUGGGCAAGUUGCCCUUCCACUAUUUAGCAUGUGAUUUACUUGUAUAAAAACAAGCCUUAUGAAACACAACAAAGAUAGAUGAAUGUGAAGGGUUCACGGGAAAGAAAGAGAGGAAGGAAGGAAGAGGAAGAGAGAGAAGGAAGAGGAAGAGAGAAAAUAGAAGAAGAUAAGAGGAGAUAAUAGAGAGAGUUAUCUUUGUACUCCUAUUAUUCUAAAUUAUAAUGAAAGCACCACUGCUGCCCCGAGGACGUACUCCAGUCACACUGACUGUAGAGGAACCUCGUAAAAUUUGUGUCUUGUUUCAUUUAUUCCACUGCACCCACAGUCGAUUUUACAACAAAUACCAUCCCCAUUUCCAUUUUUCCUCUAUGGCGUCCCCUAUUCCCUUCUACUUUUCUUCUGCACAAUUCCCACAAAUUAAAAAUAUUACUUUUCAAAUUCAAUUUAAUAAACAACGAACUUACACUUCCAUUCCAUACAUAUAUAUCCAAAAGAACAAAGCUCUUCCCAAACAGAAAAAUAGUCUACAUUUUAAAAAAAAAUAUUAAAAAACUUAUGUAAGUAGUGGAUUGUUUUGGUAAAUUAAAGUUAUAUUGUCAACUUAUGACGUUGCAGGUUUAACUUUUUAUCCUCUUAAAAUAAAUUAGCAUAGAAUAUUGUUUGUACUAAAAAGAAUAAGUAAUUAAUAUAGAAUAUCGCUUGUACUAAAACAAAAAAUUAUUCAUCAAAUUAAAACAAAAUUUUCAUAAAAUUAGCAUAGAAUAUCGCUUGUACUAAGAAUAAGUAAUUAGGUCGGAUCGGAUGAAUUGAAGAAGAUCAACGGACAUAAAUUAAUAAAUUACCAAGGGGUGUGUGAGAAGUAAUUUGGGGUGUAUGGAUAGCACACUUCUAUUUAUAGAACUAAACACUGACUAUUUUUAGAAUGAACUCUAAUUAUUUCUAGAAUUAAACACAAUUAUUUAUAGAACUAAGCACUAAUUAUUUCUAAAACUAAACACUGACUAUUUUACUGUAGUUUUAGAAAUAGUGUUUAUUUGUUCCCUUUUUAGAAAUAGUGUUAUUUAUUUUGAUUCAGUUUUCAGAAAUAGUGUGCAAUUUUAUUGUAGCUCCAGAAAUAAUGUGGAUUAUUUUGGUUCUAUUUCAGAAAUAGUGUUGGUUAUUUUGAUGCAUUUUAAAAAAUAAUGUUUAUUUUGUUUUAAUCCAUAAAUAAUGUGGGUUAUUUUGGUUCAGUUCCAGAAAUAGUGUCAGUUAUUUUGCUGCAGUUCCAAAAAUAGUUUGAGUUAUUUUGUUGUAGUUUUAGAAAUAGUAUGUAUUUUGUUCUGUUACAAAAAUAAUUUGGGUUAUUUUGCUAUAGUUUCAGAAAUAGUGUUUAUUUGUUUAAUUCCAAAAAUAGUACGGACUAUUUUAGUUCAGUUUUCAGAAAUAGUGUGGGUUAUUUUUCUAUAGUUUCAAAAAUAGUGUGGGUUACUUUGGUUUAGUUUCAGAAAUAGUGUGGGUUAUUUUGCUAUAGUUUCAGAAAUAGUGUGGGUUAUUUUGCUAUAGUUUCAGAAAUAUUGAGUUAUUUCAGUAGUUUUAUAAAUAGUGUGGGUUAUAUUGGUUCGAUUUCAGAAAUAGUUUGGGUUAUUUUGUUGUAGUUCCAGAAGUAGUAUGGCUUAUUUUGAUGUAGUUCUAAAACUAGUGUGAGUUAUUUUGGUUUAAUUUCAUAAUUCAGUAGUUUUAUAAAUAGUGUGGGUUAUAUUGGUUCGGUUUCAGAAAUAGUUUGGGUUAUUUUGUUGUAGUUCCAGAAGUAGUAUGGCUUAUUUUGAUGUAGUUCUAAAACUAGUGUGAGUUAUUUUGGUUUAAUUUCAGAAAGAGUGUAUGUGACAACCCGUCCCAAAUUUUAUUAUUUUAUAAUUUUAAAAUGAGAAUUUACUAUAGUACCCUAGUGGCGAGGGUAUUGAUUUUCAUUGAUCGUUAGUUCGUGAUGCGUAUGAACUAUUACCUUACUGUAUUCCAAAAGUAUAUUGGUAAGGAUUGUUAAUUAUUAUUUAAUUUAUUUCAUAUCAUCUUUAUUAUU